rnacentral:misc_RNA from 1 species
GCCAAAACGAAACACCAAUAUGCUCGAGUUUCGUGGCGAUAUAUCGAACGGCGUUUCUCUGCUCGCGUUCUUUCCAGUUACCCUGGAUUUAGAAGAUUUAAAGGUUGCUUGAGUUAUAACAUCUCGUUUGCAAAUUGUUUGUUCAAUAUUUUAUAGAAGAACAAGAGCAACGUAUGGAAAGUAUAUUUUAAUUAUUGUUGUGACGUAGUUGGAUAUUACUUUAUUUUGUUAGAUGUUCAAAAUAUGGGCCAAGGACGUCAAAACAUCUCUACACACACAGUCACCAAUAAUGUGUACAAAGUAUAUUAAAUUACAUGUUUUCAAAACGAUGAUGGAUAGAGCAUAAUGUAAACAUUACCUAAGCAGUUCGGACAUCCAUCUUAUCACAACUAUAUUAUUUUUUGUGGAGGGCAUUAAAAUCUGCUGCUUAUAAUGAAAUUUCUGCAACACUAGGUGAUACGAAAGAACAAAUUUAAAAUAUAUGUGUCGCAGUAUGAACUGCGGGGGUGCCAUAAGAGUGCAUGUAGAAUGUGUGAAUGUGAUUGCAUGUGUGAACAUCGGACAGAAUAAGGUAAUUUAAAUUUACAUGUAUCGUAAAAAGCAAGUCUUAAUAUGCAAGAAAAUUUAACUUAAAGUUUUUUAUUGACAAGACUUCUUAAAUUUCUGGUAAUUGAAAGCUUAUACAAAAAUUUAUAGUUUUUUACAAAUUCUGUUAGGAGAAUCAAGUAGUAAUUAUCAAUUUAGUAAUAUUUCAAUAUGUCUUAUUGCAUAAAUUUAUUAUAAUUUUAUAAUUACAUUAAAAUAUGAUGAUUAAAUUCUACAAUAAUUCGACAACCAUGUCUUUGAACCUAACAAAUUCCUUUCAUCUUUAGCUACUUUAUAUUAAAAAUAUUUUCUUCUAGUCAUAAUAUUAUAUUGAAGUCAGAAAAUCGACAAAAAUAUAUUUGUUAAAAUUUGUUUUGUACGAUCUUCAUAUAUUAUUUAUAUUAAUAUAUGUGAUAUUUACAGUAUUUAAAAAGAUAUAUUAAUAUUGAAAUCUCUACCGAUAACAAUUUGAAGAACAAUACAAUAUAAAAGAGGCCUCUUCAAUAUUUAAGGAAAUAACAUGUUUACAUCCAUAUUACAGCAUUAUAAUUAUUAUAUUUUAUUUACAUGUAAGAAAAAUACUGAUAUCCUAACACCUCAACUUGUAUAUAUUAAUUUCACGUAAUUAAUUUCAUACUUUGAUUCGAUCAAUGAGACUUAUACAUAUAAUUCUCUUAAUUACAUACAAUUUA